UACGUAGGCAGCGAGCGUUGUUCGGAGUUACUGGGCGUAAAGGGUGUGUAGGCGGUUGUUUAAGUUUGGUGUGAAAUCUCCCGGCUCAACUGGGAGGGUGCGCCGAAUACUGAAUGACUUCGAGUGCGGGAGAGGAAAGUGGAAUUCCGUGGUGUAGCGGUGAAAUGCGUAGAUAUCAGGAGGAACACCGGUGGUGUAGACGGCUUUCUGGACCGUAACUGACGCUGAGACACGAAAGCGUGGGUAGCAAACAGG
rnacentral:rRNA from 1 species